rnacentral:rRNA from 1 species
CGGAGCAGGCGAUGCGGAAUGAACCGCUUAGGGAUAUGUGGCGUCAAAACUUUUGGGCUCAUUCUCGAUACGUGAAAAGGGUGUUGGUGGAUUAAGACAGUUUGACGGUGGUCAUGGAAGUCGACAUCCGCUAAGGAGUGUGUAACAACUCACAAACCGAAUCCACGGCCCCGAAAAUGGAUGACGCUUCAGCCCAAUUAGUUAUAAGCCCAUUAUUCCUUUAACAACGCAGAAAAUACGUGAGAAAGCGCAGCGUUGUUGAUGUAGAUGUGGUCUGGGGGUGAGAACGAAGCUGAUGGCGUGAGCCUCAGAUGGACCAGCCUCUAGUGCAGAUCUUGGUUGGCGUAGCAAAGAUCUAACGGAAUGUUCUAGAACAUGAGACGUUGGAUACUGGAGCGGGG